GCGGGGGUACCAAAGCCCGGUCAAAUGGGCAGGACUUAAGAUCCUGUGGCUAGUGCCUACGCAGGUUCAAACCCUGCCCCCCGCA
rnacentral:tRNA from 1 species